CCUAUGGGGCGCAGCAGGUGCGAAAACUCCGCAAUGCGUGCAAGCGUGACGGGGGGACCCCAAGUGCCGAUGGUCUUUUGAUCGUCGGCUUUUAGGAAGUNNACGAAAGCUCCU
rnacentral:rRNA from 1 species